AAUGAGGGUGCUCACACUCUGCACCCAGAGGUUUGUAAUAAGUCUGGGUCCCACACGGAACAGCAUGUGGUGGCUCUGGACUUCCUCGUGGAAGAGUUACUUUUCAGAGAUCUGAGAAAUCUUAAUCUGAGGGGCAGAGGGAACCUCAAAUGCCGAGCCACAGCCUUGUUAACAACUGGUCAUCUCUGGACAUUGUUCUGGAUAUAUCUCACUGAAGAGCUAAGGUGAUAAAGUUCUUGGUUUAAUAGAAUUGUAAAUAAAACAUUACUAGCUCCUGUAGAACAUUGUCCCCGGAUUCAUCCUAUGCUCUUGCAAACCAAGACAUCCAGUGCUGAUCAGGAAUUUAAGAAAUUAUAAUAUCGAGAGUAAUUGUCUUCACAUAAUGGUCACACACAGAAAUGACAUCAAGAGCCAAGUUGUCCAAGGAACAAAGGAAAAAAAUACUUAUUUUCUAAACAGAAUAAAACUCAUUAUAACUUGUAAUUUGCUACAUGGCACCGUUGGGAAAUUU